AUUAGUGGCCUAGCAGGUCAAAACAGGAAAUUAAAAAAUACUGUAAAAAAUACAAACUCAUCUUUGGCAAGAACCAUCAAAUUUAAACAGAGAAAUUAGGGUCGAACAAUCCCGUAAAGCGAACCAUUCCAUAGAGCUCUGCAACGCAGAUCUAAUUUCUCUAACACAAAUAUAAUGGAGUAAUAAUAUUAGAACUAUAUAAAAUUAGGAGAUCUGAUUAGAGGAUCAUCAAUAUACCUUUAGGCGGGUAGGCAGGAGGCAUAAAUAAAGUGUAUAAUAAAGCUGCAUCAUUUUUUCUCCUCUUCAUAGCCAUCUCAAAGAGAGGACAGAAAUGUGUAGAAUGUAGAGAGAUGUAUGGGAGCGGCGGUGAGGGAAGGGAGCCGCAAGGCAAGCCCUAAUCUAUAUAACUAAAAGGCUGAAUAACA
rnacentral:lncRNA from 1 species